UACGAAGGGGGCUAGCGUUGUUCGGAAUCACUGGGCUUAAAGGGCGCGUAGGCGGUCCGACAAGUCAGGGGUGAAAUCCUGCAGCUUAACUGCAGAAGUGCCUCUGAUACUGUCGGUCCGGAGGGAGAUAGGGGUGUGCGGAACUUCCAGUGGAGCGGUGAAAUGCGUUGAUAUUGGAAGGAACGCCGGAGGCGAAAGCGGCGCACUGGAUCUCUUCUGACGCUGAGGCGCGAAAGCUAGGGGAGCAAACGGG
rnacentral:rRNA from 1 species